rnacentral:SRP_RNA from 1 species
UCGUACAGCCGGGGCAGUAGCGGCGCCCUGUACUUGCAAUCCGCUAUAGCAAGGGUUAUAUCCUUUUUGAGGGUUUAUCAGAAUAGUAAAGUGUCAGUUAAGUGGUGUUGAGAGCCGGGUCUUGCGCGAUGAACGCGCGUGAACCUGGUCAGGUGAGGAAUCAAGCAGCCAUAAGCGUUUGCGAACAUGUGCCGCGAGGCAGCCCGGUUUGAGCUAACUGAUUGAUAACGGCUGUUCUGUGAAUUCGAUUUAAGGAUGUACGA